GGAGCAGACCCACCGUGGAUUUCAGGCGGGGGUCACUGGGCCCCCUGCUCCUUGCCAUUCAUGGAACGGUGACUCAGCAGGUGGGGCGAGGUGAGGACACCCCUCAAAUUAGUGUAGGCACUCAAGGUGGGACCAUCCUGCUGAGGGUGACGCAGUCUCUGAAAAGAUCCUAACAAGGUGGAAAGACUGACUCUGCCAAGAUUUUUUUUUUUUUUUUUUUUUGAGACGGAGUUUCACUCUUGUUGCCCAGGCUCGAGUGCGAUGGUGCAAUCUUGGCUCACUGCAACCUCCGCCUCCCAGGUUCAAGCGAUGCUUCUGCCUCAGCCUUCCAAGUACCUGCGGUUACAGGCACAUGCCACCAUGCCCGGCUAAUGUUUGUAUUUUAGUAGAGACAGGGUUUUGCCGUGUUGGUCAGGCUGAUCUCAAAUUCCCGACCUCAGGUGAUCUGCCCACCUCGGCCUCCCAAAGUGCUGGGAUUACAGGCGUGAACCACUGCGCUCAGCCUGGCGAGAUUUCAUUUUAUUGAUAAAUGUAAGUUUUUGCACUGAACUAACCCCAGACUUCACUAACGUGGGUAGGAAGACAUGGCUCCUAGGUGUAGACGCAACCCCCAGGGCUCUUGGACGGAGAUCACGUGGAAUCCAGAGUCCAGUGACUUUGGCAGUAACUGAAAUGGGAUAUUUAAUAUUCACGCAUUUAUUUCACAAAUGAUCCCAGUGUGCCUGUGUGUGCCUGGGCCCCGGCAGCGGCCAGCCUUGCCCUGGAACACAAAUGACUCACAGAGAGGGACGGGUCACGCGGAGAAUAAGCCAGGAGCUGAUGCGGGAGGAGACGGGUCAGAGUUCACAAAAGAACCAACAGAAACGGAGACAUCACCUUCACACGGGAGAAGUGCGCUGAGCACUUCCUCUGAGCCAAGGAUGAAGGUCCAAGCACUCACACCCUCGCCAUCCCCCGACGGGCAGGGUUUGCUGCCACAGCCUCAGUGACCCACUCAGGAACUGAUGGAAGCGGUCAGCUGUGCCGGCCACACCUACACCCCAGAACCCCCCAGUACCGCCUGCGAGAGGAGACGUUUUCUACAGUGGCCUGGGUCCCAUUCUUUCUGAAGUCUCUCCCUCUCCAGCUCUGGACUGCAUCGUCGCCCACAGAGGGGAUGCUUCUUAUCCGGUGGGAGGCGAGGAGGUCCAAGGGUCCUUCGUCAGGAGCCUGUGGCCAGCUUUCCACGCAUCUGUGAUGCCCGGCCUCAGCCCCUGUGUCCAGCGUGAGGGCUGGUGGCUGUGGAGACGGAUCGCACGCUGGGUUUAGAGGCGCCAGCCGCUGGCAGCGCCGGUGCCACAAGCCCUCCUGAGAUAUUGUUGGAAGAGAGCCUUGGUGUGCCUGCCUGGCACAGAGAAGCCUCCUGAGAAAUGUCAGAUGAGUCAUGAGUCUCAGAGGGGGCGGGCAGCCAGGGAGGAAGCAAGGAGCGAAACCAGGAGGGAGCCCGCAGGAAGCUGGGGGCCGGGCAGGCACCGGGGUCAGUGCAGCGAGGGUCAGGGGUUGCUGGGUGCGGGCAGUGGGUGCAGAUGCCGCCGGCACAGACGCCCUGUGAGUGCCUGGGCCCAACCCAGGCCUCCACAUCCAGGUCUAAAGGGGUGGCCCUGGCCUCGGUUCCCCUCUGGCCUCAGGUAAUCAUUCUCCGUCAGAUCAGAGGCCCUUCUGGUCACCUGGUGGACGGCCUGGGUCUCUAAUGCCACAAGGUGGAUCUGUUCUUAGCCCUCGACACCUGUGCGUUCGGCUGAGCCCUGACCCUGGCAGCCCGGCGGGAGGCCCUGCAUGGCCAGACGAGGUCCCUGAAGUCCACCAGGCAAGGCCAGCCCAAGACGGGAGGCAGGAGCAGAAGGUGCUUCCGUCAAGCUCUCACCACA
rnacentral:lncRNA from 1 species